rnacentral:rRNA from 1 species
GACAGAGGGUGCAAACGUUGUUCGGAAUUACUGGGCGUAAAGCGUGUGUAGGCGGUCUAUUAAGUCGGAUGUGAAAGCCCUGGGCUCAACCCAGGAAGUGCACUCGAAACUGGUAGACUUGAGUAUCGGAGAGGUUGGUGGAAUUCUCGGUGUAGAGGUGAAAUUCGUAGAUAUCGAGAGGAACACCGGUGGCGAAGGCGGCCAACUGGACGAAUACUGACGCUGAGACACGAAAGCGUGGGGAGCAAACAGG